rnacentral:rRNA from 1 species
GACGAACGCUGGCGGCGUGCCUAACACAUGCAAGUCGAACGGGGGUAGCAAUACCUCAGUGGCGAACGGGUGCGUAACACGUGAAGAAUUUGUCUAACGGCGGGGGAUAGCCGGCCCAACGGCCGGGUAAUACCGCGUACGACCUCUGGAGGGCAUCCUCUGGUGGUGAAAGCCGCAAGGCGCCGAUAGAGAACUUCGCGGCCUAUCAGCUAGUUGGCGGGGUAAUGGCCUACCAAGGCGACGANCGGUAGCUGGUCUGAGAGGACGACCAGCCACACUGGGACUGAGACACGGCCCAGACUCCUACGGGAGGCAGCAGUGGGGAAUAUUGGACAAUGGGCGCAAGCCUGAUCCAGCGAUGCCGCGUGUGUGAAGAAGGCCUGCGGGUUGUAAAGCACUUUCAGUAGGGAAGAAAAGCCGAGUGCUAAUAUCAUUCGGUCUUGACGUUACUUACAGAAGAAGCACCGGCUAACUCCGUGCCAGCCGCCG